rnacentral:tRNA from 1 species
UCCCUGUUGGCUCAGAUGGUAAAGCGUCUGCCUGCAAUGCGGGAGACCCGGGUUUGAUCCCUGGGUUAGGAA